GCAAGAAACCGGCAAGACAGAAGAGGAGAUUGAUAGGGCAACGUUGUGGAAAAAAGCAAGAGUAUUGAAAACAGGAGGUUUCCAGAAAGAUGUCCGAGUGAUUGUUGAUAGAAUUGUUGGGAAAGGAGUAGAAGAAUACUCGGCUGCGGAUAUGGAUGGCAUUCGUGAAGAUUGGCCGACUUAUGCGGUUAACUCUAUUUUUAAGUUAUAAAUCAUAUUUUAGGUGUUGAUAAUGUAUUGACAAACAAUUCUUUUUUUUGUUAACGUUAAAAUAUUUGUAGUAUACUUGACAAAUGAUUAUGUAAUGGAUUGUUUUGGUAUUUA